GUUGAAGCACAGAGCGUCCUCUCUCUCUGGCAGUUCGAUCAUGAAAUGAGGAUCUCCAUCCACUGAACAAAAAGUAUAAUGACAAGGUGGAAGCAACAAUAAUACGCAAAGGAAGAUAUACAUAUAUGGACUUGGUUUGGUCAAAUAAAGUCAUUCUAGAGAAUUACCUGUCCCACUACAUUUCAAGCUAAAACCACAUGCAAUGAUCAAUGGCCAUAUUUUAUGAAUAUA